AUCAUUUAAGCUAAAUAUAUAUUUUGCAUAGUUCAUAAUUACAUAUUUUGUUAUUAUUCCAUCUUAUUUUUGCAUAGCAAUUCAUUCUUGGCUACUAUUCUUUUGCUUUCUCUUACAUAUAUAUGUAUUGAUAUUUAAUUUUGUUAUUUUCCUCAUUUUUCGUAAUUAUUAUAUAUUAAAAUUCACAUCAAAAUAUUGGUGUUAAAACUGUCCGCGGCGAAGCUCGGGUUCAACACUAAUUGGGGAUUAAUAUAAAGGUAUAGAUAGAUAUCGGGGAUUAAUAUAGAGGUAUAGAUUAAGACCAAUAAAUGAGUUUUUGAUACGGUUUUUAAUUUGGUACAUAAAUGAGAGAGAAAAUAGGCGGGCUAUGUCAAAGAAAAAAAAAGAAAAAAAAUUGCAAAAAAAUAUGGUUGCGCCACUGUAAUACACUGAACUUUAGCAAAUUGCAAAGUUCGAGUGUGGGGAAUGAUAAACGGAACUACCCUACAUCUUCUAAAGGGCUUAGACAAGUUUUUGGACA
rnacentral:lncRNA from 1 species